GCUAUGGGGACAUGGCGACCCACAGAACCCCCCAUGGGGACACUACGACCCAUAGAACCUCAAAACAUCAUCGCUAUGGGAACACCGCGACCCAUAGAAACCCACACAGCACUGCUAUGGGGACACUGCGACCCACGGAGCCCCACAUGGCACCGCUAUGGGGACAGUGUGACCCAUAAAACCCACAUGGCAACACUAUGGGGACACUGAGACCCAUAGAAACCCACACAGCACUGCUAUGGGGACAGUGUGACCCAUAGAGCCCCAGAACAUCACUGCUAUGGGGACACUGUGACCCACAGAAACCGACACGGCACCGCUAUGGGGACACCGCGACCCAUAGAGCCCCACACAGCAACGCUAUGGGGACACUGUGACCCAUAGAACCCCCCAUGGCAACGCUAUGGGGACACUGAGACCCCCAAUCCAAACCCCGGUUUCCCCAUAUGGGGACACCAGGACCCAGAGCACCCCAAAUCCACACCCAGGUCCCCCCAUCUCAUACACCAGGACACAGAGCACCCCCAAUCCAAGCCCCCAUCCCCCCAUAUGGGGUCACCAGGACCCAGAGCACCCCAAAUCUACACCCAGGUCCCCCCAUAUGGGGCCACCAGGACCCACAGCACCCCCAAUCCAAGCCCUGUCCCCCCAUAUGGGGCCACCAGGACCCAGAGCACCCCGAAUCCACACCCAGGUCCCCCCAUAUGGGCACACCAGGACCCACAGCACCCCCAAUCCACUCCCAGGUGCCCCCAUAUCACACACCAGGACCCACAGCACCCCAAAUCCAUGCCCAGGUCCCCCCAUAUGGGCACACCAGGACCCAGAGCACCCCCAAUCCACGCCCAGGUCCCCCCAUCUCACACACCAGGACCCACAGCACCCCCAAUAUGGGCACACCAGGACCCACAGCACCCCGAAUCCACGCCCAGGUCCCCCCAUCUCAUACAUCAGGACCCAAAACCCCCCCCAAUCCAUGCCCAGGUCCCCCCAUCCCAUAGCCCAGGACCCAGAGCACCCCCAGUCCACGCCCAGGUCCCCCCAUAUGGGGCCACCAGGACCCAGAGCACUCCCAGUCCAUGCCCAGGUCCCCCCAUAUGGGCACACCAGCACCCACAGCACCCCCUGUACGGGCACACCAGGACCCACAGCACCCCCAAUCCACACCCAGGACGCCCCCUCCCCCCCGACCCACAG
rnacentral:lncRNA from 1 species